GAGAGAGGAAGAGCGGCCGCCGGCAGCUAGUCUGCUGAGGAAAGUCCCCUCACCAUCUGGACCGCGGACAUGCGCAAGCAUGUAGGGUGAGAAUCCUGGCUCUGGAACAGAAACGAUACCGCAGCGCUUCUAAUGCGAUGAUUCCGAAAGGAUGAUGGUCUUUGUGUAUGCGGAUGGAACGGCGAAUCCACGCGGGUGCAAGCCGAAAUAGGGCAUUAAAGGGCAGUCCAGACCUGUCCGAGUACGGCGCAUAGCUGAAUGCCGCAAAAGCGCUACAGGGGCACUCGUCCCUUGCGCUGAACAUAAAGGGGCUUACUCUCCUCACUC
rfam:Candidatus Methanoperedens sp. DS-2015 MPEBLZ_contig000304, whole genome shotgun sequence.